CCUGGCCAAAUGACUGGUUCUUUAAAGAAAAAUGAAGAAGAAUAAAAUCUGGGACUGGAUGGAAAGCUUAAGCAUGUCACGCAUGGUCUGUUCACAAGCACCUCUUCGGCAAAGCCCACCUCCCUCUCUCGCUUGAUUCCCCGGCCAUCCUUAUCAAAGACCUUCCAGGUGAACAGGCAGCCAUCCUCAGCAGCAGUCAGCAGGAACUGAUCAUCAAAGCCAGUAGACAAGAUUUGACUCUGGAGGUGACGUCUGAGCCAAUAGGUAUUUGGAGUCUGGAGAAAAAGC
rnacentral:lncRNA from 1 species